rnacentral:lncRNA from 1 species
GGCCCGCUUGUCAUAUUUUAUAGGUUAAAGCUCUUCCUUUUUUUUCUUCAGUUUUACAGUAGAUUCCGGUUAUUUGCAUAGUCAAUUUGUCAGACAAAAUUAUGCAAUAAAGCGGAGUAUGCUUAUAUCUGAAAUGUCAAAUGACAGAGUCAAAUAACAUCGAUAGAACAAAUCAGUAAAGGAAAUCCCUGAAGAAAGAUGAACGUCUGUAAUCCACAACGUACUGAAUGUUGAUUUAUUCUAAUAAGAAUUAUAUAUCGAGU